GGCUCAGAUUGAACGCUGGCGGAAUGCUUUACACAUGCAAGUCGAACGGUAGAGGGGGCAACCCCUUGAGAGUGGCGAACGGGUGAGUAAUAUAUCGGAACGUGCCCAGUCGUGGGGUAUAACGUAGCGAAAGCUACGCUAAUACCGCAUACGAUCUAUGGAUGAAAGCGGGGGAUCGCAAGACCUCGCGCGAUUGGAGCGGCCGAUAUCAGAUUAGGUAGUUGGUGAGGUAAAGGCUCACCAAGCCGACGAUCUGUAGCUGGUCUGAGAGGACGACCAGCCACACUGGGACUGAGACACGGCCCAGACUCCUACGGGAGGCAGCAGUGGGGAAUUUUGGACAAUGGGCGCAAGCCUGAUCCAGCAAUGCCGCGUGCAGGAUGAAGGCCUUCGGGUUGUAAACUGCUUUUGUACGGAACGAAACGGUGAGCUCUAAUACAGUUUGCUAAUGACGGUACCGUAAGAAUAAGCACCGGCUAACUACGUG
rnacentral:rRNA from 1 species